GUCUGAAUGGCCAACCAUUUUUUUUUUUCUGUAUGUGUUUGAGAAUAAUGUGUUUUGCAAUUUUUACAUGCAGUAUUUUAUAUAAGCUUAUGGUACAGCUUGUUUAUUGUAUAAUUUAAAACUUCCAUGUCCUUACUAACUUUUGUCUGUUUAUUCUAUUGCUAAAAGUGGUAUAGUAAAUACACUACAAUAAUGCAUUUGUCAAUUUAUCUUUAGUUAUGUCACUUUCUGCUUCAUAUAUUUUGAGACCAUGUUAUUAGGUACAUAAAACAUAAUAAUUAUAUUUUUUUCUGGCAAACUGAAGCUUAUUAUAAAUGACCCUCUUUGUUGUGAGUAAUGCCUUUUGCAUUUACAACUGAUGGAGACAGGACGCAGCCAAGGGUCCCUGGUGAAACUCCGCCUUCAAGCCUAAAACAGCCUGAAGGAUGAAAAACCAGACUUCUGGUGCCUGAUGAAGCCUGCCCUUUCCUGACUGAUUCUAAAUAAUGCCUACCUACCAACUGGGAAGGCAGGGUGGAGCCUUCGGAAAUUCAUGACCUUCGCAGGGGAGAGGAGCUUGGCCUCUCCUAUUGCUGUGUGGUGACCUGGGAUUCAAACUGUGAGGCGGAAAACCUGCUAGCAGGAGUCUCGCUUUGCUGAGAGUUAUUUUUCUUUUCCUUUUUAUCCAAUAAAUUCCGUCUUCUCACGCUUCUAUGUGUCUGUGACCCUACUCUUUCCUGGUCGUGUGACAAGAGCCUGGUUUUAGCUGACCUAAGAAGAAAGUUCUGCAACAUUUUUGGUGUCCAGACGUGAGGCUUGAGGAAGGACAAGUACAGACAAUCACCAGGAACUAAGGAACAAGAAGCAUCCAACCCUGCAUCUGUGGGUUUCCUGAGGUGACUCUCAAUUGUCAUAGGGGUGAAGAGUGAGUGAGGAAACCUUUGGAGCACUUGUUUGCUUCGCAGACAUCCUGACCUUCUUUCAACUGUAAAGACUUAGUCAGAGGACGGCGGCUCCCUCAGCCUCAUUCUGCAGUUCCAAUGACACUUUUUACAAAGGCUCUGUACUUGUCUGAUUCUUAAAUAGUCCAGUUUUUGAACUUUGCUGCAGUAGUUGUAUUCGAAAUGGGUUAAUUGUCUCAUUUUCUUUUUAAUGCCUACUCUUUCAAGGCUCAAAUCUUGAAUAGGUCAAAAAGAGCAAGAGGAAAAUGUCAGAGAAUGGAGAAAGGCAAAUACAGAGAAGCAGUGUGAACAUCCACCCGGCGAGGUGACCUGAUGGUGCUGCUCCAUGUCAGAGACAGUAGUGUCUGGGAAGAGGGAGCCCUUUCCACAGGGUGGAGCGAAAGGCCUGGAGCUGACACCUGGCUCCUGGGCCCACUCGCCCACCACCUCGAGCAACUCCCUUCCUUAACGUCUGCCCGAGUGUUAAGGGCUGAGCACAUGACCUCACAGGAGGAUGUGAGGGGCAGCAGUAACAUGUGUCUAGCACUUUGUCCCUUAUAAGUCACUCACAAAUACUUAUAUCCUUAUUAUGUUCAUCCUUUUCUCUUGAGUUUUUCUCUAAUUCUUUAGGAAGGAAACACGUAGCCAGGAAGUGGAGAGCCUCUCACAUACUUGGGGAGUUUUCAUAUUUCCCCCAUCAGUUCCUUUUCUGGCCUGAGCUCAUGCUCCCUAAGAUCAGGGCUUGGGCUUUGUUUUAGUCUGUGUUGUUAUAAAAGAAUAUCCAACAGUGUGUAAUUUAUAAAGAAAAGAGGUUGACUUGGCUCAUGGUUCUGCAGGCUGUACAGGAACAAGCUUGGCUCCAGCAUCUGCUUGGCUUCUAGGGAGGCCUCAGGAAGCCUUUACUCAUGGGGGAAGGCAAAGGGGAGCAGGCAUUAUGUGAGAGGAAGGAAGAGAGAGGCAGGGGAGGUGCCAGGCCCUUUUAAACAAUCAGCUCCCAUGGGAAAUAACAGAGCCAGAACUCACUCAUUAACUUCAGAAUGGCACCAAGCCAGUCAUAAGGAUCCACCCCCAUGACCCAGACACCUGCCACCAGGCCACGCCCAGUAUCAGGGAUCACAUUUUAACGUGAGACUCGGAGGGGACAAACAUCCAAAUCACAUCUGGCCCCAUAACCUUUGGAGACCUCAGCUCUGGCGCUAGGGUGGUAGGUCCCCUAAGGGUUCGUGCUCUCUGAAGGAAUUGGGUUACAUUACCUGGGAGAGCUUUCUGGAGGAAGUGAGCUUUGCUUCUCACAGGUUUCUAUAAGGAGAAGGAUGGGCUGUUGGAAGGGGAGUGAGUGUGUGUCCAAGUGAGGGAAAGUGAGGUUCAGCAUCUUGGUGCUCUUGGCUCAGCUUCCCUUUCUAUGCCAUGCACAGUGCCUCCAGGAUGCCAGGGGGUGCCAUCCCUGACCUGUUCUGGGGUGGGUGUGCAAGAUGCAAAAUGGCUAAUUUCAGUUCACUGGUAACUCUAACAUUUGGAUAAUAAUUGGCCAUAGCAUUAGCUUUGGUUAUACAUCUCCAAACAUGUUAUUACAUUAUAUAUAUAUAUAUAUACACACACACACACGCACACACGUAUACAUAUAUACACACAUCUAUACUGUAUUGAUAUGUUGAUAUAUUGAUAUUAUGAAUUAUUUUAAAGAGUAUUCUACUGAUGUGGAGGAUAAUAUGAAAUUCAAUAUUUUCUGGCACUCUUUUUAAAUGAUGCUUAGGCCAUCUGAUGAAAACAGAGCUCAGUAAAGAUUUCUUAUUGAUAAAUUAACAUUACAAAUGAAGACUAGUUUCAUUGCCAUGAUCAGUAAAUUAAGGGUCAUAAAUUAACUGUUGAGUUAUUUUCUUUGCACUAUUAAGCCUUCCGCUCAAUCUUUCUACAGUCUUUCUUAUUUAGCAAACGGUGUUACUUGAUACAAACCUCUGCUGUGAUUUUGUUUUUUGAAAUUUAAUAAGAAAGCUAUAUAAUACAAUUCUCGGGGGAAAACAAGCAAGGUAGGUUUUUCACGGUAACCUCCAAGCAGAGAAAUGGUUUCAGUGCGCAGGCCAGUGAAUUUCCUCCAUAGAGUGUGCUGGAAGAAGUCACCUGGAAGUGAUCACCAGAGUGAUAUUCAGUUUGACUCUCAUUGGUUUGUAUAUAAUUGAUUAUAUGUAAAAACAAAUGCCAGGGUGAGGGUGGGACUAGAGUCCCCCUUUCAGGCUCCUCCCCUUGCAUUUCCAUCUGGUCUUGCAGCAAGUUAACCACGGUCCUAUCUUCAGGUUCAAUUACUCCCUUUAAAAAAUAGGUUUUAACACCUAUGUAUCUCUCAACAUUAUAUUGUUUUAUUUUGAAAAAUUGAAUAAUAACCACACACCUAGCUUUGGAAGCAAGAGGCUUCAUGGCCAGGAUCAGAUAAAUGAUCCUCUUAGAGUGGGUGGGACCUCAGCAUCCCAGAGCGUGUGGAAGAGUGCCUGCCAGGAAGCCACCAGACAAGGUCCUAAGUACAUGCAUGGAAACACUGGGCACGAUGCUGACUGUGGCAUGGGCCAAAAAGUGACAUGGGGCAGAACUUCAGUGGGAGGAGGGGUGCUCUGUACGUUCAGCUUCUAAGCCCACUGUGGCCUUCCUCUUAGGGUUUCACAGAGCCAAGCAGAAAAGAAGCACAGGUGACCUUGGCAGGAAGGCAUGCAUGGGAGAGCAGGUCUGCACUCUGGGACACCAGCCUCAACAGAAUACGAGUUUUGAAUUUUUGAAUUGCUGUUAAAACUUUCAUCAUGAACACUGAAGUGGGUGAAAAGAGACUUUUGCAGUCAUUUUUUUGCUGGCUGCAGAUGACAGUGACACCCUGGGAGUUGAGAAAUGCUUGUAAGAUGGAAGGAGGCUGUGUCCCUGAAUGAUCACCUGGAAGAGAGCCACCUUAGCCAAUGAAACUCCUGCUAUGAAUGUUUGCUGAGCAAGAAAUAUACUUACUGCUUUAUAUGCCUUUGAAGCUAUAGGUUCAUAUUGUUACCACAAUUUAAAGUGCUAUAAUAAAAAGAGUUCAGGAAGCAGGCACAUGGAAGCAAUAAGAGCAACAAACAUUUACACAGUUCUCAGGUCCCUGGACCAUGAAGGGCCACAUACAAGGAGCUACCCCAGGAGGCCUCUCAUUUGCAUUUGUCCCCGCUACUGCAGGACAGAGAUCAUGGAAGUUGGGCCCGACUGGAUGAGAUUUGGGGUUCUUUGGAAGUGGCGAAUGUGUUUGCCCUGGGGAAGAGAGGUGAUGUCUAGGAGACCUCUUCACUCAGGGCAAGCUCUAUGACCUGCUUUGACUCCAGAAUGUGGUAGAAGUGGCAUCACAUAAAUUGCAGAGCCUAGGCUUCAAGAGACCUUGCAACUUGCCUCUCACUGUCUUGAAGUGCUCCCAUCAGAGCAUUUUGUAAGGAGCAGGUGGAGCAUGUGGACAAGCCAUCCCCACCAGCCCCUGAGACAUGUGAGAGAGGCCAGAACAGGCCAUCCGGACCCCACUGUGCUGGUGGAUGAGACAGCAGAAGGAAUAUCAACCUACCAACAGAAUCCUGAGAAAUGCUCACUCUUACUUCAAGCUGCUGCAUUUUGAUGUUAUGAAACCAUAAAUAACUUAUGAAGUCAUCUUUGCUGACUUAAAGUUUUCCAUAACUUUAUUAUAACAUAUCAAAAUUAUGAAAAAUGUGAAAAGUAGAAAACUGAUGAAUUUUGCUUCUUCAUAUGGUCUUUAAGAAUCUCAAAGGCACUGAAGUUUUUUAUCUUUUCUGUCUUAGAAUAAAAAACCUUGAAUGAAAAUCUGCUUCUUGGAAAAGCAGCAAGGUUUAUGCAGAGGCAAUCUGGUAUUUGUGUGCACUGGCAGCUGAUCAUACCCAGCAUGUACGCACUCUCAGGGCAGAGUCUGAUGCCCCACAUAAUGGGGCACGGUAAGGACUCCCAUGUCCUUGAGAUAAAAUGAUAAGGAAAAUACACACUGCUAUUAGAAUAACAGGCCCAGCUUCUGCACAUUUUAAUUCCCAAAGUUUUCAUGAAAGACAAUGAUUUUUUGGUACCAUGUUUAACUCUACAAGAAUCAGUAGUGAAAACUAAAAAUGAUACUUUGUGAAAGUUCAUUAAUUUUGUUUUCAGCCAGUGGUGGCCUUGGUCAGAUAGAAUCAAAUCUAUGAUACUUUUUAUCAGAAAUGCUUGUACUGUGUACAAACCCCAAGUGAGGGCUUUCAAAGAUUGAAUUUGAUUAUUUUCUGUAUGGUGCAGAUGAAAAAUUACUACACAGGAGAAGGUGGGUUGGAGGUGCUCACGAGUAACCAGGAAACAGUCUGAAGUUUUUCUGAUACUUCUUCUUGGUCCAACCAAAUGUGAGAUAUAAACACAAACAUGGGAUUCCGUUCUUAUGUUUUGGUUGUUUCAGUCUUUACAGAUGUAUCGAAAGGCUGUCCAAAGAUGUCUGACUUCUGUAGUGUGCCUUCGUAGCACUAGAGGGUUCUGUAGCUGUGAAACUGAAGGCAUUGGCAAGAAGCCCUCCAUCUUCAAACCACUUUCUGCUAAGGUGUGGCUCUAUAAAACCACUAUGAGCUGGGCUUCACUGAGACUGAGUUGUUUCAGUAGGAUCUUCCGGAAAAACACGUUCCCUCCUUUACCUGGGUUGUCAUUCUGAGAACAAUCACACCUCCAAUUUUGGCUUACUAAGCAAUAGUGUUUUAAUGAUUUUAAGCCAGGAUUUGCUCCUCCUUUCCUCAGUAUGAGACCUUAACCACUGGAGGAACCAAGAAUUCAUGCUGGUUGGGUUCUGAUUCCACUUUAACUUACUGUAUAGCCUCAUCCCUUGUUUUUCUGGAGAUUCUUUCUGCUUCACUGUUUUAUAUUUACAUUAAAAUCAAAUGAGGCCAUGUUUCUGAAAUCACAUUGUCCCUACAUGGUCAUCACAAUGAGUCUGUAAUGUGACUGAAAGACAGCCAUGGAUACAGUUAGAGGAUAUCAGGCAAUUGAAUGCUCAUCAAGCAUUCAAUUCAGGGCAAAUGGCAUAAGGUAUGCAGGUGGCCUCUUCUGAUAUCUGUGUCUUAAUCCUUUCUUUAGCCUCUGUUUUCUGGACCAAGGCUAAGAUAUUUUCUGGGCACAGUGGCUCAUGCCUAUAAUCCCAGCACUCUGGGAGGCCAAGGUGGGAGGAUUUCUUCAGCCCAGGAGUUCGAGACCAGCCUGGGGAACAUAGGAGACCUCAUUCCUACAAAUAAUAAAAUAAAUUAGCCAGCUCUGGUGGCGUGUGCUUAUUGGUCUCAGCUACUUGGGAGGCUGAGGUGGGAGGACUGCUUGAGCCCAGAAGAUCGCAGCUGCAUUGAGCCAUGAUUGUGCCACUGAACCCUAGCCUGAGUAACAGAGCAAGGCCUUAUCUCAAAAAAAAAAAAAAUUCUGAGCCUUCUAAUUUUUUUUUCUUUAAUUAACUUUCUGUAAGCCCAGCAAGUAAAUAAAACACUUAUUUUAUGAAGCAUCUAGUUGCUUUUAGGGGAAGGGACAUCCUCUGCAUAGUAUCUAGGCCAGCUCACUUUCUUCUCCUUACUCUUGAUUUACUCUCUGCCAUUGAAUCUUCUGUGCCAAUGUUGGAUUAAUGUUUCCGGGCCCUACUUUCAUCAUGCUCCUCUGUAUUAUCACCUGUUUUGGUUUACAGCAAUGAUUUUUAAGGUAAGGCAUGGUGUGUCCAUCAUAGUCACAUGGGAACUUUUUCAAGCCAUAUUAACAAUGUCCCCCAUCCAUCAUUCUGCCCCUGGAACAGUGUGUGCACUUGGGACCUUCAUGUAAAUCUACUUUGUUGAAACCCACUGAUCAGCAUGGUGUAUUUCAUAACUCUUUGACUUACAUUCAAGAAAUUCCGUAACCUGAACUCCAUUUACUCUUUUUUUCAUUCAUUCAAAUUAAGAAUAUUGCCGGAACAUGAAUUAUCUGCUAGACGUUUUUCUAGGUGCAGGAGGAGUAAGGAUGAACAUAACUAGCCAUAACUAUAGCUAUCAAUUGUGGAGUGUCUGUUAUGUGCCAGGCACUUUUAAGUGACCUACUCGAUUUGCUUGCAUGACAAACUGUGAGGAAAAGCCCAAUAUUAUCACCUAUUAACAGAUGAGGAAACUGAGGCACAAACAGCAUGAAUAGUUUGUUCCAGAUUGCACCAUAAGAGGCACAGCCAGCUUUCCUACCAAAGCAGCCCUGGCCCAGAGUCCGUACUCCCUCCUCCCCUGCCUCUGCCUGGUGGAUAAGGUCACCCUGGCCUUGUGGAACUUAUGCUCUAGUGGGGACAAAUAGUUAUAGAGAAUGACCGAUGUUACUAAGAAAAUAAAAGCUGGUAAGAAAACAGAAGAACUGAGGAGGUGACUGAAGUGAGCAUUUAUAAUUUUAUGUUAUAUCCAUUGUAAAAUAUAAGUUUAGCUUUCUCAUACCAGAAGCAGGGCUCAGUCCACCCUUGACUCAGUUUCCAAUACUGUUCCCCAUCAGAAUGGCUCUUGCUGGUGGCCAGAAGUAAAACUUAGAAAUAUCUCUCUCAGAGACACCUAAGCAGGCUGGGCUCCCCGGUUUCCUGUUGCUUCCUUUAAAGAAGCUCUUCAGACAUCUGCACAAGAACUCAAAGUGACCACCUCUCAGCCCAGCAUGACCUCCUAGAACUAAUGCCUGCUUGCUUUCAACCUACCAAUUAAAGCUCCCCAGGAAACCUGUUUAGAUAACACCCUGGACCCAAGAAAGGUGCUGGGCCAUGGGUUUCUUCUCUCUCUCCCUAUCUGUGCUCCCUGACCCCCUGUGUGUGUGUGGUCUCUAGGCUUGCCUUCUAUCCCUGAGGGUCUGUAAAUACUAAAAACACUUAAACUUUCAUAUUGUAGUUGUGUCUUUGAAGCCAGGUCCCCAUCCCGUACCUUGAGGGCAAGGCCUCCUGGAAGGGACCCAUGUAGGUGGAUCCCCUGCUGUCCAGGCCUCUUAGCUGCUGGGGUAGUGACCAGUUAAGUGGAUAGAGUUUCAUUCAAAACAAUAAUCAUUCAACUGUAUCUCACAUCAAACCUCUGCUCUAGUUUAUGUAUCUACUUUAUGUUCUUAGAAGACUGUGCAAACACAUUGUCUUUUUUGAGUACCUGUCUUGUCCUAGGCACUCUGCUUGGUACGGGGAGAGAUGAAUCUUCUGUCUUCAGGGGCUUCCACUCCAGCAGGGGGAACAUGACUAAUAGUGACUGCCUGCUGCUGUAGGUAAUAAGUGGCUCCCACUAGGCCCUCCAUUUGGUGGCCCCCUGUCCCUCUCACUGGUGGAAGCCUACCUGUCCUCUAAGGACCAGCUCACUAAUGUCCUAGAUCCUCACGGACCAGAUUGCUUUUCUCAGAACUGAAGAGCACUUACUAAUGGCCCCUCUUGUCAUAUGCCAUCCCAGGAUUCGAAUUUUUUUUUUUUUUUCUGUCUUGUGGCCCAAAUAAAUGCUGAACUCCUCGAGGGCUGGGAGUGUAUCUAGCAGUUUCCUUAUACUGGACUAAUCAGAUGCUGACUAGGUAGCAGUGAGAAAAAUCUAGAAAUUCCCUUUUAGCCACAUCGACUUACACGAGGGGAUAUGUGUAAGGUACUAUAGCUCUUCAAACAAGAGGUGGUCUCGUUUGAAGGGUGGAUUGAUGUGGGUGUUCAAAUGAUGUCACAAGUGGCCGGUUUCUCUGUCUCCAUUUCUUUUUUUUUUUGGCUCCAUUUCCAAAUUUCCCAGAUAGCACAGCAAGUUGGCCCCAGCAGCUCUAGACACUCCAUCUUCUCAGGGCAUAGCCAACACAAUAAAAUAUUUCAAGUUCCUGAAAGAUAGCUGAAAUAAGCCCUAGAAGUUUCUGGAUUGGGAGUAGAGCCAAACCUGCCAGCUCACAUAGAUGAGGGCAGGGAAUAGGGUGUCUCACGAUCACAGUGUCCUGCCUUCUGAUUUGCCUGGGACUGUCCUGUUUUGGCACCAAAAAUAUCUGCAUCCUAGGAAACCCUCGGGUCCUGGGCAAAUUCAGACAGUGACUUGCCCUAUCAGAAGCAAAGCAAGGUUGCCAUUACCUGAGGUGGGCAAAUUCAGACAGUGACUUGCCCUAUCAGAAGCAAAGCAAGGUUGCCAUUACCUGAGGUGGGCAAAUUCAGACAGUGACUUGCCCUAUCAGAAGCAAAGCAAGGUUGCCAUUACCUGAGGUGGGCAAAUGGAGGCUGGGUGGCCAGUGAGUGACCAAUACCCCCAGCAUUGAAGAGAGUGGAGCAGCCCUUCAAGAAGUUCCAACCUCUGCCCAGGACUGGUUUUACCAACUUCACUAGGCUUAGAAUCGUAGGAAGUCUAUUUGGGACUUGCGAGUCUCACGUAUUCCUGCCUAAAUGUUUAUGGAUACCUGUUUAGAGCUGAAAUCUUUUCAGCUCCCAUAAUAUGAGGGAAUUAGGUCUCAAAGAAGAUCAUGUAUUUUGAUCAGACCUUAUAGCUGAGCAGUGGAAAGAAAAAAAAUCAGUGUGAGAUCUCCCAGGGUUCCACAGGAGUGGCUUCCUUAGUCCAACUGGCAGCCUAUCCUGGAAUAUUGCCUGGGAGAGAGGUUAGUUGCUUUUCCUGGUGCUAGGAACUGAAUGGUUUUACAUAUUGAUCAAUGAAAAUACUUAUUUGGCCUAGAAUAGAUGCAAAAAUACUGCUAAUUACUAACAGUAUCUCUUCUUUGCUGCGUGCCAGACACUCCACUGGGCAUUAUGCAGUUAAUAUGUACCAUGCAUUUCCCGUGGUUAGCAAUGAUGUCAGGCAUAGAAAAGACAUGAAAUUAUGAUGUCAAAUGAAUAAACUGGAAAAAGGAAUUUCUUGAAUUUUCUCCAGCUGUCCUAAGAAUGUAUCUAUACUUUGAUCCUGGCCUACCUUUUCAGCAUCUAAACUUUUUUCCCCCAAGCUUCUAGAUAUUCAAAGUUAAGUAUUAAAUAAAAUCAGUAAAUAUAUACAAGCUUGUUUGGCCAUUCUGAAUAAGGUUAUAUUUCCACCACACAAUCUCCAAAUUCUCUAGCAGAAGGGAUCAGUAUGUUAUAGAUACCCCCUUUCCUUCCCUCCCUGGCAAGCCACCACAUCUGUUAUGGGUACUCAAUGCAGUGGCUGCACCUGGGCCUCACUCAUUAAGCAGUUGUUGAUUGAGUGACUGAAUUGAAUGCCUGAUGAGCUCGCAAGUAAGAUUCAGACUGUGCCUGCGAACUAAUAGGAUCCCUCUGCUUUUUAUUCACUACUGCUGAGGUAGAUCUCAGGCCAGCCUGAAGUUUAGGUCUACUGAGAAAUAAUAAGCCUCAAAAAUCGAGCUUUGCUUCACCCAGUCUCCCAGUAAACACUAAGAAUUGUUCACAUUAUUUACACAUCCUAGACUGCCUGUCUUAUGGACCAAAUGUUUGUGUUCUCCCCCCAAUUUAUACAUUGGAAUCCUAACCCUCAAUGUAAUAGCAUUAGGUGCUGGGGUCUUUGGGAGGUGAUUGGCUAAUGGACCUGGAGCCCUCAUGAUGGGAUGAGUCCCCUUAUCAGAAGAGACCUGAGAAGGCUUUCUUCCUCUCCCUCUGCUCUUCAUGAUGUGAAGACACAAGAAGACAGCCAUCUGUGGGCCAGGAAGAGGUCCUCACUGGAACCCAACCAUGCUGGCACCCCAAUCUUGAAUUUCUAGCUUCAAGAACUUGGGAAAUAAAUGUAAGCCAGCCAGCUUAUGGAUUUGUUACAGCAGCCUAAGCUAAGUCAGAGUCUCUAGAACAGCUGGUCUGGGGCAGCAGUGAAGGGAGGUGGGUGGGCAUAUGACCCUGCCCUGCACAUGAAUGGCAAAGGCAACUGGAGAGCCUCUCCCUUUUGGUGAGAUCCCCAGUCCACAAGGGCAUGUUCAUCCAUAGCUUUACUUCCCAAAGCAAAUUCUGGUUCCUGGGGCCUGUGCCUCCAUAGAUGGCAUGAUCUGCAGCCUCCUAUGGUAAUUUACCCUCUUCCUAAAUUUCUGAGUCUUCACAUUUAAGCAAUCCUAGUUAGAUAUCCUCUACCUGUAUCCAUGGCUGUCUUUCAGUCACAUUACAGACUCAUUGUGAUGACCAUGUAGGGACAAUGUGAUUUCAGAAACAUGGCCUCAUUUGAUUUUAAUGUAAAUAUAAAUCAGUGAAGCAGAAAAAGAGAAUCUCCAGAAAAACAAGGGAUGAGGCUGUACAGCAAGUUAAAGUGGAAUCAGAACCCAACUGUAGUCCAAUAUUUGUUUCAAUCCUGCUCUUUUCUACCAUAUCACCCAGUUUCCAAAUCGUUCAGCAAAUUGCCAUGGUCAAUGGGAUUAACCUUUCCCUUUUAUUCUCAGGAAAUCUCCCUUGUCCAUUUUGCAAGACUGUGUGAUUCUUUCUACUGUUACAAGGAAUAAAAGUCUUCCUAAAAAGGUCUUUGGUGCCUUUAUUAUUUUACGGAUCAUUUCUGAGGGAAUUAUUGAACUUCAUUAUGUAACCACCCCUUGGGUUCACCUUGCCCACUGCCUAGACAGAGCCAAUUUAUCCAGACAGGAGAAUUGCAAUGGAGAAAGAGUAAUUCAUGCAGAACUGGCUGUGUGGGAGACUGGAGUUUUAUUAUUACUCAAAUCAGUCUCCCCAAGCAUUCAGGGAUCAGAGUUUUUGAACAUAAUUUGGUGGGUAGGGGCUUGGAAAGUGGGGAGUAAUGAUUUGUCAGUUUGGGUAUGUAAUCAUAGGUGGUCGAAGUGAGUUUCUCUUGCUGUCUUCCAUUCCUGGGUGGGAUGGCAGAACUAGUUGAGCCAGAUUACUGGUCUGGGCGGUGUCAGCUGAUCUAACAAGUGCAGGGUCUGCAAAAUAUCUCAAGCGCUGAUCUUAGGUUUUACAAUAGUGAUGUUAUACCCAGGAGCAAUUUGGGGCGGUUCAGACUCUUGGAGCCAUAUGCUGCAUGACCCUGAAUCUGUAAUUUCUAAUCUUGUAGCUAAUUUGUUAGUCCUGCAGAGGCAGACUGGCCCCUAGGCAAGAAGGGGGUCUUUUCAGGAAAGGGCUGUUAUCAAUUUUGUUUCAGAGUCAAACCAUGAACUGAAUUCCUUCCCAAAGUUAGUUCAGCCUAUGCCCAGGAAUGAACAAGGACAGCUUAAAGGUUAGAAGCAAGAUGGAGUCAGUUAGGUCUGAUUUCUUUCACUGUCAUGAUUUCUUCAGUUAUAAUUUUGCAAAGGUGGUUUCACUUAGUUUCAGAGAUGGUUGGGGCUGCUUCAGCAUGGGAUGCAUGAAAGGUGCUCAGCUGUGGGUUGGAGCAGGGGCCUCCACUGUUCUGCUCUU